rnacentral:rRNA from 1 species
CAGGCUUAACACAUGCAAGUCGAGGGGCAGCAUGGUCUUAGCUUGCUAAGGCCGAUGGCGACCGGCGCACGGGUGAGUAACACGUAUCCAACCUGCCGUCUACUCUUGGACAGCCUUCUGAAAGGAAGAUUAAUACAAGAUGGCAUCAUGAGUCCGCAUGUUCACAUGAUUAAAGGUAUUCCGGUAGACGAUGGGGAUGCGUUCCAUUAGAUAGUAGGCGGGGUAACGGCCCACCUAGUCUUCGAUGGAUAGGGGUUCUGAGAGGAAGGUCCCCCACAUUGGAACUGAGACACGGUCCAAACUCCUACGGGAGGCAGCAGUGAGGAAUAUUGGUCAAUGGGCGAGAGCCUGAACCAGCCAAGUAGCGUGAAGGAUGACUGCCCUAUGGGUUGUAAACUUCUUUUAUAAAGGAAUAAAGUCGGGUAUGCAUACCCGUUUGCAUGUACUUUAUGAAUAAGGAUCGGCUAACUCCGUGCCAGCAGCCGCGGUAAUACGGAGGAUCCGAGCGUUAUCCGGAUUUAUUGGGUUUAAAGGGAGCGUAGAUGGAUGUUUAAGUCAGUUGUGAAAGUUUGCGGCUCAACCGUAAAAUUGCAGUUGAUACUGGAUAUCUUGAGUGCAGUUGAGGCAGGCGGAAUUCGUGGUGUAGCGGUGAAAUGCUUAGAUAUCACGAAGAACUCCGAUUGCGAAGGCAGCCUGCUAAGCUGCAACUGACAUUGAGGCUCGAAAGUGUGGGUAUCAAACAGGAUUAGAUACCCUGGUAGUCCACACGGUAAACGAUGAAUACUCGCUGUUUGCGAUAUACGGCAAGCGGCCAAGCGAAAGCGUUAAGUAUUCCACCUGGGGAGUACGCCGGCAACGGUGAAACUCAAAGGAAUUGACGGGGGCCCGCACAAGCGGAGGAACAUGUGGUUUAAUUCGAUGAUACGCGAGGAACCUUACCCGGGCUUAAAUUGCAGAUGAAUUACGGUGAAAGCCGUAAGCCGCAAGGCAUCUGUGAAGGUGCUGCAUGGUUGUCGUCAGCUCGUGCCGUGAGGUGUCGGCUUAAGUGCCAUAACGAGCGCAACCCUUGUUGUCAGUUACUAACAGGUUCCGCUGAGGACUCUGACAAGACUGCCAUCGUAAGAUGUGAGGAAGGUGGGGAUGACGUCAAAUCAGCACGGCCCUUACGUCCGGGGCUACACACGUGUUACAAUGGGGGGUACAGAGGGCCGCUACCACGCGAGUGGAUGCCAAUCCCCAAAACCUCUCUCAGUUCGGACUGGAGUCUGCAACCCGACUCCACGAAGCUGGAUUCGCUAGUAAUCGCGCAUCAGCCACGGCGCGGUGAAUACGUUCCCGGGCCUUGUACACACCGCCCGUCAAGCCAUGGGAGCCGGGGGUACCUGAAGUGCGUAACCGCGAGGAGCGCCCUAGGGUAAAACUGGUGACUGGGGCUAAAUCG